rnacentral:rRNA from 1 species
GAUGAACGCUGGCGGCGUGCCUAAUACAUGCAAGUCGAGCGAACAGACGAGGAGCUUGCUCCUCUGACGUUAGCGGCGGACGGGUGAGUAACACGUGGAUAACCUACCUAUAAGACUGGGAUAACUUCGGGAACCCGGAGCUAAUACCGGAUAAUAUAUUGAACCGCAUGGUUCAAUAGUGAAAGACGGUUUUGCUGUCACUUAUAGAUGGAUCCGCGCCGCAUUAGCUAGUUGGUAAGGUAACGGCUUACCAAGGCAACGAUGCGUAGCCGACCUGAGAGGGUGAUCGGCCACACUGGAACUGAGACACGGUCCAGACUCCUACGGGAGGCAGCAGUAGGGAAUCUUCCGCAAAGGGCGAAAGCUUGACGGAGCAACGCCGCGUGAGUGAUGAAGGUCUUCGGAUCGUAAAACUCUGUUAUUAGGGAAGAACAAAUGUGUAAGUAACUAUGCACGUCUUGACGGUACCUAAUCAGAAAGCCACGGCUAACUACGUG